AGGAAAGAUACUAUGCUAAAAAAUUCGAGGCUGAAACUGAGGAUGAUCUUGAGAAGGUUCGGAGAGAUGUGGUGUUGAAAUAUACAGAAGGGAUUUGCUGGGUCAUGCAUUAUUAUUAUGAAGGAGUCUGCUCCUGGCAAUGGUAUUAUCCUUAUCACUAUGCUCCAUUUGCUUCAGAUUUUGUUGGUAUUGAAGAGUUAAAGAUUCAAUUCACGCUUGGGAAACCCUUUAAACCAUUUGAUCAGUUGAUGGUUGUACUCCCCACUGCAAGGUUUUAAUUAUUAAACUGUGUUUGUAUUUAUGCAUUUUGGCUUUCAUAUAUUAGUCAUAUGAUAUUUACCCUCUUGUGCAUGUACAGUGCACACGCUCUUCCAGUGUCUUAUAGGAAGCUUAUGACUGAUGCAUUAUCACCUUUGUUGGCUUUCUAUCCCACAGAUGUUGAGCUGGAUAUGAAUGGGAAAC